UCGAACGCACAGCGAAAGGUGCUUGCACCUUUCAAGUGAGUGGCGAACGGGUGAGUAACACGUGGAUAACCUACCUCAAGGUUGGGGAUAACAUUUGGAAACAGAUGCUAAUACCGAAUAAAACUUCGUAUCGCAUGAUACAAGGUUAAAAGGCGCUACGGCGUCACCUAGAGAUGGAUCCGCGGUGCAUUAGUUAGUUGGUGGGGUAAAGGCCUACCAAGACAAUGAUGCAUAGCCGAGUUGAGAGACUGAUCGGCCACAUUGGGACUGAGACACGGCCCAAACUCCUACGGGAGGCUGCAGUAGGGAAUCUUCCACAAUGGGCGAAAGCCUGAUGGAGCAACGCCGCGUGUGUGAUGAAGGCUUUCGGGUCGUAAAGCACUGUUGUAUGGGAAGAACAGCUAGAGUAGGGAAUGACUUUAGUUUGACGGUACCAUACCAGAAAGGGACGGCUAAAUACGUGCCAGCAGCCGCGGUAAUACGUAUGUCCCGAGCGUUAUCCGGAUUUAUUGGGCGUAAAGCGAGCGCAGACGGUUGAUUAAGUCUGAUGUGAAAGCCCGGAGCUCAACUCCGGAAAGGCAUUGGAAACUGGUCAACUUGAGUGCAGUAGAGGUAAGUGGAACUCCAUGUGUACGCGGUGGAAUGCGUAGAUAUAUGGAAGAACACCAGCGGCGAAGGCGGCUUACUGGACUGUAACUGACCGUGAGGCUCGAAA
rnacentral:rRNA from 1 species